GGUUAAGCGACUAAGCGUACACGGUGGAUGCCCUGGCAGUCAGAGGCGAUGAAGGACGUGCUAAUCUGCGAUAAGCGUCGGUAAGGUGAUAUGAACCGUUAUAACCGGCGAUGUCCGAAUGGGGAAACCCAGUGUGUUCCGACACACUAUCAUUAACUGAAUCCAUAGGUUAAUGAGGCGAACCGGGGGAACUGAAACAUCUAAGUACCCCGAGGAAAAGAAAUCAACCGAGAUUCCCCCAGUAGCGGCGAGCGAACGGGGAGGAGCCCAGAGCCUGAAUCAGUGUGUGUGUUAGUGGAAGCGUCUGGAAAGGCGCGCGAUACAGGGUGACAGCCCCGUACACAAAAAUGCACAUGCUGUGAGCUCGAUGAGUAGGGCGGGACACGUGGUAUCCUGUCUGAAUAUGGGGGGACCAUCCUCCAAGGCUAAAUACUCCUGACUGACCGAUAGUGAACCAGUACCGUGAGGGAAAGGCGAAAAGAACCCCGGCGAGGGGAGUGAAAAAGAACCUGAAACCGUGUACGUACAAGCAGUGGGAGCCCUGAUUUAUCAGGGUGACUGCGUACCUUUUGUAUAAUGGGUCAGCGACUUAUAUUCUGUAGCAAGGUUAACCGAAUAGGGGAGCCGGAGGGAAACCGAGUCUUAACUGGGCGUUAAGUUGCAGGGUAUAGACCCGAAACCCGGUGAUCUAGCCAUGGGCAGGUUGAAGGUUGGGUAACACUAACUGGAGGACCGAACCGACUAAUGUUGAAAAAUUAGCGGAUGACUUGUGGCUGGGGGUGAAAGGCCAAUCAAACCGGGAGAUAGCUGGUUCUCCCCGAAAGCUAUUUAGGUAGCGCCUCGUGAAUUCAUCUCCGGGGGUAGAGCACUGUUUCGGCAAGGGGGUCAUCCCGACUUACCAACCCGAUGCAAACUGCGAAUACCGGAGAAUGUUAUCACGGGAGACACACGGCGGGUGCUAACGUCCGUCGUGAAGAGGGAAACAACCCAGACCGCCAGCUAAGGUCCCAAAGUCAUGGUUAAGUGGGAAACGAUGUGGGAAGGCCCAGACAGCCAGGAUGUUGGCUUAGAAGCAGCCAUCAUUUAAAGAAAGCGUAAUAGCUCACUGGUCGAGUCGGCCUGCGCGGAAGAUGUAACGGGGCUAAACCAUGCACCGAAGCUGCGGCAGCGACACUGUGUGUUGUUGGGUAGGGGAGCGUUCUGUAAGCCUGCGAAGGUGUGCUGUGAGGUAUGCUGGAGGUAUCAGAAGUGCGAAUGCUGACAUAAGUAACGAUAAAGCGGGUGAAAAGCCCGCUCGCCGGAAGACCAAGGGUUCCUGUCCAACGUUAAUCGGGGCAGGGUGAGUCGACCCCUAAGGCGAGGCCGAAAGGCGUAGUCGAUGGGAAACAGGUUAAUAUUCCUGUACUUGGUGUUACUGCGAAGGGGGGACGGAGAAGGCUAUGUUGGCCGGGCGACGGUUGUCCCGGUUUAAGCGUGUAGGCUGGUUUUCCAGGCAAAUCCGGAGAAUCAAGGCUGAGGCGUGAUGACGAGGCACUACGGUGCUGAAGCAACAAAUGCCCUGCUUCCAGGAAAAGCCUCUAAGCAUCAGGUAACAUCAAAUCGUACCCCAAACCGACACAGGUGGUCAGGUAGAGAAUACCAAGGCGCUUGAGAGAACUCGGGUGAAGGAACUAGGCAAAAUGGUGCCGUAACUUCGGGAGAAGGCACGCUGAUAUGUAGGUGAAGCGACUUGCUCGUGGAGCUGAAAUCAGUCGAAGAUACCAGCUGGCUGCAACUGUUUAUUAAAAACACAGCACUGUGCAAACACGAAAGUGGACGUAUACGGUGUGACGCCUGCCCGGUGCCGGAAGGUUAAUUGAUGGGGUCAGCGCAAGCGAAGCUCUUGAUCGAAGCCCCGGUAAACGGCGGCCGUAACUAUAACGGUCCUAAGGUAGCGAAAUUCCUUGUCGGGUAAGUUCCGACCUGCACGAAUGGCGUAAUGAUGGCCAGGCUGUCUCCACCCGAGACUCAGUGAAAUUGAACUCGCUGUGAAGAUGCAGUGUACCCGCGGCAAGACGGAAAGACCCCGUGAACCUUUACUAUAGCUUGACACUGAACACUGGUCCUUGAUGUGUAGGAUAGGUGGGAGGCUUUGAAGUGUGGACGCCAGUCUGCAUGGAGCCGUCCUUGAAAUACCACCCUUUAAUGGCUGGUGUUCUAACGUUGGCCCGUAAUCCGGGUUGCGGACAGUGUCUGGUGGGUAGUUUGACUGGGGCGGUCUCCUCCUAAAGAGUAACGGAGGAGCACGAAGGUUGGCUAAUCCUGGUCGGACAUCAGGAGGUUAGUGCAAUGGCAUAAGCCAGCUUGACUGCGAGCGUGACGGCGCGAGCAGGUGCGAAAGCAGGUCAUAGUGAUCCGGUGGUUCUGAAUGGAAGGGCCAUCGCUCAACGGAUAAAAGGUACUCCGGGGAUAACAGGCUGAUACCGCCCAAGAGUUCAUAUCGACGGCGGUGUUUGGCACCUCGAUGUCGGCUCAUCACAUCCUGGGGCUGAAGUAGGUCCCAAGGGUAUGGCUGUUCGCCAUUUAAAGUGGUACGCGAGCUGGGUUUAGAACGUCGUGAGACAGUUCGGUCCCUAUCUGCCGUGGGCGCUGGAGAACUGAGGGGGGCUGCUCCUAGUACGAGAGGACCGGAGUGGACGCAUCACUGGUGUUCGGGUUGUCAUGCCAAUGGCACUGCCCGGUAGCUAAAUGCGGAAGAGAUAAGUGCUGAAAGCAUCUAAGCACGAAACUUGCCCCGAGAUGAGUUCUCCCUGAGACUUUAAGUCUCCUGAAGGAACGUUGAAGACGACGACGUUGAUAGGCCGGGUGUGUAAGCGCAGCGAUGCGUUGAGCUAACCGGUACUAAUGAACCGUGAGGCUUAACCUU
rnacentral:rRNA from 1 species